rnacentral:sRNA from 1 species
AUUUGAAUAAUUAUUAAGAAGCAAAGCUAAACAUUGUAGAUGGUCUUAGUAAUCAAACAAACGCAUUAACGCAUGCAUAUUUGUUUUUAAUUGUGAGUUAACAAUAACAGUGGCAUUGUCCUCCGUGAGACAUAGAUUUGCAGUAACCGCCUUUUCCAUUGUCGCAUCCAUUGAGACACCAACUGUUACAUCUCUGGUCGUCAUUUUUUGUGUUGCACUUUCCAAAUUUCGGGUGGUUAUUACAACACAAGGAACCACCAUUCUCUACAUUAUAUCCUUCAACAUCUGCCAAUAUCACAAAGAAUUGAAACAGUUUUGUCUAAUAUGAAUUCAUGGAAUUUUGUAAUUAAAGUAAUAAGUUUGUAUUGAAACACAAAAAUAAGUUUGUUAGAGUGUAAAAACUUGAGAAAAUACC